GACGAACGCUGGCGGCGUGCUUAACACAUGCAAGUCGAGCGGGGUCCAUCUUGUGGCAACACAAGGGAAGACCUAGCGGCGAACGGGUGAGUAACACGUGAGGAACCUGCCCCGGAGACCGGGAUAACACCGGGAAACCGGUGCUAAUACCGGAUGCCCUCAGAGAGUCGCAUGGCUCAUUGAGGAAAUGGAUUCCGCUUCGGGAGGGCCUCGCGGCCUAUCAGCUUGUUGGUGGGGUAACGGCCUACCAAGGCUCCGACGGGUAGCUGGUCUGAAAGGACGACCAGCCACACUGGGACUGAGACACGGCCCAGACUCCUACGGGAGGCAGCAGUGGGGAAUCUUGCGCAAUGGGCGAAAGCCUGACGCAGCAACGCCGCGUGCGGGACGAAGGCCUUCGGGUUGUAAACCGCUUUCAGCAGGGACGAACAUGACGGUACCUGCAGAAGAAGCCCCGGCCAACUACGUGCCAGCCGCCGCCGUAAAAC
rnacentral:rRNA from 1 species